rnacentral:SRP_RNA from 1 species
UCUUCAGACCUGUGCGACAGGCCCUUGGGGCACUGGGUCAGGGUGGGAACACAGCAGCCUCCCUCCUGGGUUUGGGCGCCGCAGCCAUCUGGAGAGGA